rnacentral:tRNA from 1 species
ACUGGGUUGGCCGAGUGGUUAAGGCGUUGGACUUAAGUUCCAAUGGACAAGUGUCCGCGUGGGUUGGAACCCCACACCCAGUA